AGUGACGGCGCCACGGAGGAGCCAUUUCCCGAAAUGAGCAAUUCUCGGUAAAGUUCUGAAUGAAACCAGGCAGACAUCUCACCUCCUCCAGGAAGACCUCCGGCUGGACAGGGGGGGCCCAUCCUUCACCUCCAACCCCGGGCCUCAGAGUGUGCUCUUCAGGCGAGCUCUGAUGAUGACAUUUUGGUAUCUACCAAGAUUACAAAUGCAGAGAAGUCGGCGCUAGGAACAGUAGAAGAUGCAUCCAACGUUUGUCUCACACGAGAAAGAACACUAAUUGUAGAUCCUUCUGCAGUGUGAAGUCUCUGAUGCCGUCCGAAUACAUGCACC